rnacentral:tRNA from 1 species
CAGAAAAUAGUAUAUAAUAAGUACAUAAAUUUUGGAUAUUUAAAGAGACUUUUCUUUUCUGA